CACGCUGUAAACGAUGGGUACUAGAUGUCGGGGGAAUUGACCCCCCCGGUAUCGCAGCUAACGCGUUAAGUACCCCGCCUGGGAAGUACGGCCGCAAGGCUAAAACUCAAAGGAAUUGACGGGGGCCCGCACAAGCAGUGGAGCAUGUGGUUUAAUUCGACGCAACGCGAAGAACCUUACCCAGACUUGACUUCUGGAGAAUGGCGUAGAAAUACGCUAGUGCCCUUCGGGGAACUCCAAGACAGGUGC
rnacentral:rRNA from 1 species